AAUAGAUACCCAGGUAGUCCACGCCGUAAACGAUGAGUGCUAAGUGUUAGAGGGUUUCCGCCCUUUAGUGCUGCAGCUAACGCAUUAAGCACUCCGCCUGGGGAGUACGGUCGCAAGACUGAAACUCAAAGGAAUUGACGGGGGCCCGCACAAGCGGUGGAGCAUGUGGUUUAAUUCGAAGCAACGCGAAGAACCUUACCAGGUCUUGACAUCCCACUGACCGGUAUAGAGAUAUACCUUUCCCUUCGGGGACAGUGGUGACAGGUGGUGCAUGGUUGUCGUCAGCUCGUGUCGUGAGAUGUUGGGUUAAGUCCCGCAACGAGCGCAACCCUUGAUCUUAGUUGCCAGCAUUUAGUUGGGCACUCUAAGGUGACUGCCGGUGACAAACCGGAGGAAGGUGGGGAUGACGUCAAAUCAUCAUGCCCCUUAUGACCUGGGCUACACACGUGCUACAAUGGAUGGUACAAAGGGCUGCAAGACUGCGAAGUCAAGCCAAUCCCAAUAAAACCAUUCUCAGUUCGGAUUGCAGG
rnacentral:rRNA from 1 species